AUGGAGUCUCCCUCUGUGGCCCAGGCUGAAGUGCAGUGGCACGAUCUCGGCUCACUGCAACCUCCGUCUCCCAGGUUCAAGCGAUUAUCCUGCCUCAGCCUCCUGAGUAGCUGGGAUUACAGGCUCGCGUCACCAUGCCUGGCUAAUUUUUGUAUUUUCAGUAGAGACGGGAUUUCUCCAUGUUGGCCAGGCUAAUCUCGAACUCCUGACCUCAGGCUCUCCGCCCGCCUCAUCCUCCCAAAGUGCUGGGAUUACAGGCGUGAGCCACCGCACCCGGCCGAGGACUAUUUUUUGUAGCGGGGAAUCUACUAAACAGUCUGAAGUACACAGCACCAUGAACCGGCAUGGCUUUUGCCUAGAAUGCUCGUCCACCAAGACUUUACCUGUGCACCCCUGAAGACCCGCUGAAAUUCCAGCCCAGCUCUGAAGGCUUCCCAUGACCAGAGGACACACCAAUCCAGCCUUACACUGUGAUUAUUCCUGGUCUCCUACCACAGCCGCCUUUGCCUACCUCUAGGCAGAUUGAGCCAAGCAGGAAUCAGGCCUGACCACCUGAGUAAGAUUUAGAAACUGAGCUUUAAGCUAAAAGCCUCAAAACCAAAGGUGGUUCCUCAGAGACUAUGAUUUUCUAAUUCGUCGUUUUUGAAAUCAGGCUCAAGAACCCGGGAUGAGGAGGAAAAACACGAAGCUGAUUUCUGGAGCAAUUUGGCAUGUUGGAGAGAGAUGGCCCGUUCUUCUUACAGACGAAGAGACUGAGGCCCAAAAGCAGGGAGAGGCGAAAUCAGCGCCCAGGCCUCCUGCCUCUCAGCCUGGGGCCCCUUCACUGCCUUCUUUAAACCUGACGACAAAAGCAAGGCAGGUGGAAUGCGCUGGUAUCAAGGCUCCCUUCACAUCUCCUGAGACCUGGAGAGCAAGAGCUAACAUAUUGGGAAUACUACAAUAUUCUACAUGAUAUGCUUCUCAUUUUCACAUAGAAAUGAGAAAACUCUUUCAAUCCCUGACAAUGGCACGGGACAAUCAUAUCUUGAUUGUCAUGGUGAGGAGGUCUACGCUCAGAGGAGGACCUUGUCUAAGAUCACACAGCUAGUAAGUGGCAGAGGCAGGAUUCGAACUCAGAUCUGUCUGAGUCAAAGUCAAAUUUCUUUCCACAACAUUAAACUGCCUCCUAAGUACAUAGAACUGUUAGCAAAGAAGAGCAAUUGUCCCCAGUUUAUAGCUUGAGAAAAUGGAGUCUGCAAGUCUCAGAGAAGAAUAAAGUCCUAUAGUUUCUAAUCAACAAAACUGUGACUAAAAUUCCAACCUGUGUUAAGUGAAAUGGUAGGUACGGGAGAACUCCAAGGUAUGGCCCCACCCUCAAGAGACCAGCCAUCCAUUGAGACCUGUGACUGCUACUGGUGUCUCAACAGGGAAUGGUUCCGAAUGAGUGCGUUGGUGAGGCACAGGUUGGGUGGUAUAAAUAAUGAAGGCUGAAGAGUCUGAGGUGGUGAUCAGUGCUGAGUCCAGACUGCUGCCCUGUCUGCAUAUCUGCUAAAAUGGUCUUUGCUGGAGGCCAUGGAUCCUCUUACAUUAUUUAUCAGAAUCUCUUAUCAUCUGGAAAUAAGAAAACCCAAAUCAAUUGUUGACAAACAUUUUGCAGUAAUUGCAUCUCCUUACUAAGGGCUGGACUAUCUCUCUUUGAAGAAUGAAGCUGGAGAGUGUAAUUGCUGGUCAGUUCUUCUCCUCACAAUGACCUGAGUAAAGACUCUGAGGCCAGGGAGAGUGGGAGCCUCUCCCCUCAAUGUUACCUCCAAAAGGAACAGGGGAUAAAUACCCUUGUAAGACAGUUGGCCUCAUUUUGUGGAUGUGAAUUCAAUGGCUCACAGCUCCAUUCUACUCAUCCUGGCUCCGGCUUAAGUUUUAAAAACUAAUUCUCUCUGCAUUAAUCUGAAAAGAUCCUUCAAACAAAAGCUCAACAUCUGAGUCUAUUUACCGAGUGUGCAGCUGUGUCAAUUGGCCAAGACAAAGCGAAGGCUUCCUGGUCAGCCCACAAUGGGCGGCAGGUAGUCUUGCAAACAGAGAAACACAAGGCAGGGGCCUUUCACGAGUCAGCAAACCUCCUUCCAACAAGGAAGAGCUGGAGCAGAGGGGUCAGGAGGAUGGAGUGCCGCCCCACCCCCACUCUCACCAGCACACAAGUGGGACUGAAAGGUAGGAUCUGUAAGCCCAUCAAUUAGGGCUAUUAAAAAGGUAAUUAGCCCUCUUCUAUGGAAACCAAGGACAGAGAUGUGAAAAGGGGGACAUUCAUUUCCAUGUGGUUACAUUUUAAUGUGACCAGUGCACUUUAGUCAUGAAACGAGGUGCUAUUGUUGAGAAUAUCACUUGGUUGGUCUUAAUGGGAAGGUGCUACUAAGUCAGUUAAGGAGCUAUCUUACAUUUAGAAUAGUAGCUAUUUUUAAUUCUUGAAAAAAAUAUUUUUCUGCUAUCAAACUCUAGAUUCAAAUCAAAUGGCCAGGUUUGGGAAGCAAGGGAGGAGUUGAGAGUCAUUUCUUUUCUAGUUUCCUUACCCAAAAGAAUUGUGGCAGGAAAUGAAAUUUUAAAAUGUCAACAAGGAAUAAUUUGUCUUGGAUUCUGAGAAGUGUGAAAUUUAAAAUUAAUGUUUCUGUUUCCUCUCUUUUUAGACGUGUGUGGGUAUUUCGGUAAUAAAGCCCAAGAAAGACAGAAAAUGAAUAGAGGAAAGAUCUUUGUUAUAAUGAGAUUUGAAGACAGUUAUUCAAACGGACCUAAAGCAUAUGAUGCUCUGUGCAACACUGGCCCCGUUCACAAUGAAUGCACUUACACGUAUUUACAUUGCCUCUUUCUGUGUGUGUGUGUGUGCGUGCAUGCACGGUGGUAGCAGUGGUGGUUGUGUAUGCACACCUGCAAGUAAAGGAUAAUUUAAUUUUAUUUCUCUACCAUCUCAUGCUCUCCUUCCCCAUCACUACUCCCGCUACUUUUUUGAGGUAAAAUUGUGCAUACAAUGAGAUGCAAAGAUCUUAAGAGUACAGUUGGGUGUAUCACAUCCCAUUAAUCCACAUAGUAAUGAAGAGAUACAAUAUUCCCAUCACAUCAGAAGUCUGCUGCCUCCAUCCAGUCAAUACUACCCUCCCCAGGCAAUCACUGUUUUGAUUUUUAUUACUAUGGAUUCGUUUUGUCUGUUCUUUAAUUUCAUAUACAUGGUAUCAAACGGUAUGAAUAGUUUUGUAUCUGGCACUUUUCACUCAAAAUAUUACUUUUUGAGAUUCAUCCAUGAUGUUGAUUGAGUGUAUUAGUAGUUCAUUCUCUUUUAUUUGUAAGUAACAUUUCAUUGUAUGACUAUACCACAGGGUAUCCAUUCUUGUGUUGAUGGACAUCUGGGUUGUUUCCAGUUUCGGACUAUUAUGAAUAGAGCUGCUAUAAACAUUCUUGGAUAAGACUUUUUGUGGGCAUAUGUUUUUAUUUCUCUUCGGUCAUUAUCUAGGAGUGAAAAUGCUGGCUCAUAGAUUAGAUGUAUCUUUAACUUUGUAAGAAACUAAGAAACUGCUAAACAGUUUUUUAAAGCGGUUCUACCACCUUACACUUCUAACAGCAAUGUAAUGAGUUUCAGUUGUUCUGCCUCCUUACAGACUUGAUGUUGUGAGUCUUUUUAAAUGUAGCUGUUCUGAUGCGUAUUUAGUAGUCAUCUCAUUGUGGUUUUAACUUGCAUUUCUCUGAUGACUAUUGAUGUUGAACUCUUUUCUUGUAUGCUUUUACCAUUCCCAUAUCUUCUUUCAUGAAACUUCAUUGAAGUCUUUUGUCCAUUUUUAUUAGUUUAUAUUAUUAUUAAUUUGCAAAUAUUCUUUACCUUUUCUGGAUAAACUAUCUUCUAAUACACAGGUAUUGCAAAUAUUUUCUCUUGGCCUAUGGCUUUCAUUUUCAUUUUCCUAAGGGGUCUUUCUGAUGAGCAAAAGUUUAUUAUUUUGAUGAAGUCUAAGUUUUCACAUUUUUAUUUUAUAGUUAGUGUUUUCUGUGUCUCAUCUUUGGGAUACAGAAAAAAUCUGUAAUCUUUGCUCUACUCCAAGGUUGUAAAGACAUUCUUCUGUGUUUUCUUUUAGCAGCUCUUUAAUUUUAAAUUUUGUGAUUGAACUGAUAAUUCAUCUCAAUUAAUUUUAUAUGUAUGGUAUGAGGCAAAGAUUGAGGCUUAUGUUUCUCCCAACAUUUAUCCAGUACUUCUAGAACCAUUUGAUAGACUUUCCUUUUCCCCGUUAACUGCUCUGAUGCCUGCAUCAUAGAUCAGCUGAUUGUAUCUGUGUGGUUCUAUUUCUGAGCUUUCUAUUCUAUUUUUUUUCUUUUUGGUCUGUCUUCAUGCCAAUAUCACAUUGCUAUGAUUUUUGUAUAUUUUUUAAUGUCUUGAAAUCAGAUAUUGGGGCCCCUUGAAUCUUGCUCUUUUUUUGAAGAUUCUUUUGGCCAUGUUAGAUAUCCUUUGCAUUGUUAUAUAAAUUUUAGAAUCAACUUCUCAAUUUCUACAAAAAGCUUGUUAAGAUUUUGAUUGGUUGUGUUGAGUCUGUGAAUUAGUUUAGUAAGAGGGAAAUUUAAUGCCUUAACAAUAUUGAACCUUUCAAUGAAUGAAUAUGCUAUUUCUUUCUAUUUAUUUGUUUUCCCUUAUUUUUCUCAGCAAGAUUGUAUAAUUUUUACUGGCGAGGUCUUGCACAUCUUUUGUCUAACUUACUUCUGAAUAUUUUAUGUAUUUUGAUGCCAUUGCAAAUGACAUUUUGAAAUUUUACUUUCUAAUUGUUUGUGGUUAGUAUGUCAUAAUAGAAUUGACAUGUGUGUAUUUAACCUUGUAGCUUGUUCUGUUGCUAAAUUCCCUACCUAGUUCUAACAGUGGCUUUAUGUAUCUCUUAGUAUUUAAUGUAUGUAUAUAUAUUCACAUGAUCUGCAGAUAAAGAAACUUUUACUUCUUUCUGUCCAAUCUUUACCCUUUUUAUUCCACCUUAUUGAACUAGCAAGGGGUGCCAGUACAGUUGCUAAACAGGCAGUUAAAUUACUGAUGAUUUACCUCAGCAUUGUGGAAGGUGUGUUAAGGUUUCUUUUAGCAUGGGUCUAUUUCUUAUCCUAUGGCACAGUCCUUUUUCCUAAGGCAUGGAAUUUGCGGUGUGAGGUGCUCACCUAAGUGUCUCCCCUCUGCUUGGCUGGCAUUCCAAAGUCUCCCAACCCUCAGGACCUCUGGUGUUUCUAUUCAGGUUUCAUCCCCAUUAUAUCUGUUCUCUAAUAGGCCUAGUGGAGUUUUACCCUGUGCAUGUAGAGUCCUGUUCUCAGCCAAGAACCCUGGAGGACUGCCUGAUACAAACUUCCGGCAACCUUCUUGCACAGAUACUUCUCCUCGGGUACCUUGCCCUGCAGAUUCCACCACUCCCGCACUCCCAAGCUCCAAUCUCUGCCUCCUCCACUAAACAUGCUCACCGUCCUCUGCUUGUGCGCCCCCUCCUUGCACGGUGACCUGGUAACUGUCCACGGAUGGAAAGCCAGAUGGCAUGCAGGGCUCACUUCAUGGGCUUCCCUUCUUUCGAGGAUCACACCUCUGCUGUCCAUUAUUCUAUGCCUGAAAAUAAUUGCUUCAGAUAUUUUGUCCUGUUUAAUCAUUGCUUGUGGUGGAAGGCACAUCCAAUACCAGUUUACUCCAUCAUGGCCAAAAGUAGAUUUUUACCCAUAGGUACUUUUGUUAAACCGGCCAUCCAUACCAAGAACACAUCUGUGCCAUCUCUUUCAUUUCUCAUGUGCUUACAGAGGGCAGGAAUCAUAUCUUGAAUUUAGAAAAAUCACUGGGCAAUUCUUAUAACACUUGUCUUCCAACUUCCUCAACAAACAAACAAAAACAAAUGAACAAACAAACAAACAAACAAACAACAAACCGUAUUUUCUAAAAACUCAAGCCAGUCCACUAGUUGUCCUUACUAGACCAGCAUUUCCUAUCUGUGUUCUGAGGAAUGCUAGCUCCACAAGAGGAUAAAUGGCAGUCUGGGUCUACAGAGUUUCCUGAUCAGAUAUUUUGGAAAAUGUUAUGUCUGAUUUUUUCCUGCAGGAAAAUCACACGCACAUUAACAUAUGAAAAAGGCUGAUAUGUUCUGUUGAAAAAUUUCAUCCACUUAACGUUGCCCAAACUUAAUCAGUGCAACUAAGUCUUGAGAGAAUAUUCUCUAAUAUUGGAAAGGUGUGCUCUUUCACAUCAUAAAUUAUCUGACUUAUUUAUUUUCCCCAAAGUUUUGAAAAAAUACUAUUCAGAGGGCAAAAAGAGAGUUUUGAUGUUUGGCAAGUCAGUCAAAAUUACAGAUGCUGAUAUGAUAUUUAAGCUGAUCAUUUCUGAUUGGUAGGGCCAACAAUUGAACAGAUGAGUUAAAUACCUCAGAAUCUAUGUGUCUAGUUUCCACAUCCCAAUUGUGCAAACAAAAUGUGAUGGGAAAAUGGACUUUUUCUUUUAAAGCUCUGAUCAGCAUAUUUAUGUUUUAAAGGCCUAGAAAUCUGGAAAUAUAAUGCUAGCCCAUAAAAUCUUACCUUCAAAAGUAUUUCAUAUAUACUCUAUUUUUAAGAUAAUAACCCACCUCUAUAAAUUUUAUUAAUCAUUUAUGAACCCCCUAAAAUACUUUUGGAAACAUUUUCCAGCUCAAACACCUUUUUAAAACACCUUUUUAAAUGACAUCAUGUCUCUUGGUGUAUAUUGUUCUAUAAUGGAGAUCAGGAAAGCUUCCCCACCCCUCCAGAAAGUGACUGCUGAGAAGUUUGUCAUCAUCCUCCCUAAAUGUAAGCACCUGGAAAAUCUGAGUGCUAUGAAACCCCAAAACAUAGCUCUGAGGCAGACAGCUAGAUUUAAAAACCUCUCCCUUGGAGAAUCGCCUCAGGAAUAGCAGAAGCAUAGUCCACAAUCCUGGGGAACUUCAGGGAUCCCUGAAGGCUGAGCCACAGUGAGAGGCUUUGAGCUGUACUCUAGAACGUCUCCCAGGAGGAAAGACUCUCCAUGAGUUUCUCUACUGAGCACGCUGUCUGCUUCCCUUCACCUCCCUGCUGCUGUCGGCUAGCUCCACAUUCUGACCUACAGGCAGAGGCAAAGUGGAUGCACACUUAUUCAUUCAUCCAAUCCAUUCAGCUAUUCAUUAGUUAAUUCAAAACUGAAUUAUUAAGUGCCACUUAGGAACCAGGCACUAUACCAGAGUUGCUAGGAUGCAGUGGUGGACAAAACUCAAUCCCUGCCCUCAUGGAGUUUACAGUCUAGGGAGCAAGGAGAAUGACCAGCCAACCAAGGCACAUGGUAAGAAGUGCUACAGGGAGGAAUGAGUCACAUUAAGAGGUUGGAGAGUGGCUGGAGAGUUACAUAGGAUGAUCAGAAGGGUUUUCUCUGAGGAGGUGACAUUUGUGCAGUAGUAUGAAUGAGAGGCUGAGUCAAAGAAACAUUGAGGGGAAGAGCUUUCCCAGCAGAGGGAACAGUAAGUAAAAAAACCCUGAGGCUGGAGUUUUUGGUUGAAUCCAAUGGCUCCUAAGCACUAACUAGUUGCAUUUGACUCACCAAAGAAGCUUAAAAACAAAUACUAUUCCUGGUAUCCACAGUCUCAGAGCCCAAUUCAGUAAACUAGAAGUGGGGCCUGAGAACCUAGAUUUUUAAAAAGCCUUCCCAGAAUAUUCUGAUGCUUAGCUCAGUUUAGGAAACUCUAAUCUAGUCCAACGACCUCAUAUCACAGAGGAAGAAAUUGAGGUCCAGAGAGAGGAGGACGUGAUUUAGCUUCUGGUCACAGAGUUACAUAAUCAUAGAGCCAGGCCUAGAAACCAUAUUCCCACAUUCCCAGUCCUCCCUGCUCUCCUAUCCCCUCCUCUCCCCUCUUCUCCUCCUGCAACAGAAGAGGCCACUAGAAAUGUUUUUCUUCUAAUAAUAUUUGUUGUUGUCAUUAUUAAUAUAAAUAAUAACUACCAUUCAUUGAAGAUUUAUCCCAGGCACAGUUCUAAGCACUCUUCGUAUAUUAACUUAUUAAAUCCUCACAAUAACCUUAUAAGAGUGGCAUGCUUAUGAUUCUCACUUUGCAGUUGAGGAAGCUGGUGGAGAGGUUGAGCAACUUGCACCAGUCACACAGCUGGCAAACGAUGGAGCCAGGCCACCUUCCUGCAGAGUUUAUGAGGCUGGACUCCCCUUUGGGGCUGCCUCGUGCAGACCAGGGCAAGAUUAUUACUGCUGUUAUUGAUUCUCAUCAACAGGAGCUUCAGUUUCUCAUCCUGUGCACAUUGACAGGGACACCGGCCAUAUCAUGAUGCAGACAGCUGGGAGUGCACCUCAAGGCCAUGGUACAAGUUCAGGCAGUGGAUUCUGUCCCUUUGGAGAGCAACUGUGGUCUGAACAUUACUUAUUUAUCUUUUAGAAACUUCAGGUGAUUGAAGUUUCCUUUUGGUGAUUUUUUGAAGUCAGGCUCUGCUGAGAAUGCAGAGGGAGAAGCUGGUGUGCUUGCUGCAUGUUUAUAGCCAAGCUUGGCACAUCAUCUGAGUCAUAGCUGCAUCCAAGUAACACAUCACUAGUAUGUCUUCCCUGUGGCCAGGAUGACUAUGUCAUUGAUCUCACUGUGCGAGACCCUGAGAGCAAGGUUGAAAGAUAAAACAGGAUGAUCCCUGUCCUCUAGGAGCUCACGAAUAAUUAUAACUCCUGGCAGAAAGUAGCAGUGUUCCAUUAGAGUGCUGGAGGUUAGAGGGCCAUGGUGGUGAAGAACAGCUUGUGCCUCCUGAGAACAGGAAGAAUUUUGUUGGAUCUGGACCUUGAUUUGACAGGUAGUGACAAAGGAAGAGAUCUGCAGGACGAAGGAACAACCUCAGCAAAACCACAGUCGUGUGACAUGGCAUGGCAGUUUUGGGGAAGGGAGAUUAAAAAAAUAUAGUUUUUUUUGUUGUUGUUUUGUUUUUUGUUUUUUGAGAUGGAGCCUCACUGUGCCACCCAGGCUGGAGUGCAUUGGUGCAAUCUCGGCUCACUGCAACCUCCGUCUCCUGGGUUCAAGUGAUUCUUCCACCUCAGCCUCCCAAGUAGCUGGGAUUAUAGGCAUCUGCCACCAUGUCUGGCUAGUUUUUGUAUUUUUAGUAGAGACGAGGUUUCACCAUGUCAGUCAGGCUGGUCUCCAACUCCUGACCUUAGGUGAUCCACCUGCCUUGGCCUCCCAAAGUGCUGGGAUUACAGGUGUGAGCCACCACUCCUGGCCAUAUAUAGAUGUUAUUAUGUGUACAGCUAGUAUAUUUCUAUAAGCUAAGGGUUUAAGGUGAGACAGAGUCCAUAUAUAGUUUUACUAGCUUGUCAGUGUGUAUUAUCCUCCAAAUGAUCAUACCAAUAGUAUAGAGCAUACUCUGUUGGGAUCCCUGUCAAAUAGAGGGAGAGAGUACAUGGUUUACUAAUUACUUUAUUCUCAAAAUACCAUGGUGCUAUUUUAUUUUUAUUAUUCUUCAUAAAUUUUUUAAUUGUUUUUUAAAUUUUUUGUAGAGAUAGGGUCUUGCUAUGUUGCCCAGGCUUGUCAUGAACUCCUGGCCUCAAGCAAUCCUCCCACCUCAGCCUCCCAAAGUGCUGGGAUUACAGGCAUGAGCCACCAUGACUGGCCAUUUUUAAAAAUUAUUCUGUAUAGGUUAAUAACAGAUUGUAUGAUGGGGUUACAGAAGGAGGGCAUUUAUUAAGGAGGGUGAGAGGCUGAAUUAAAGUGACCUCUUCAAUCUGUUCCAGCAUCAUUGAUGUGCUAUGUGUAUACCUAUUACUAGCAAUAGGUCAGAAUUUAAGUAUUCAUGUGUCUGUGCUACAUUGCUAAGUCUUCUGUGAUGCUCUGGUAUCUAGAUGAGGUACUGUUGUGGAUCCCUCCUAGGCCUUAAUUGUCUAUUUCACACCACUGCCUUUAGAAAGGAUGAAAGAGGCAAAGAGCCUGAAACUUCAAAAUCAGCUGUGAAGACAGGACAGGACACCACUAAGACACAGGGGUGCACUGGAGCUGGUUUACAACCAGCUCAAGAGAGACAAUUGUUAAAAUUUUAGAAGUUUUGUGGGUCAGUUGUUAAAUACAGCCAUUAUUAAAAUUAAAUUUUAUGGAUUUAUAAUUAAAUAAAUUAUAUCCUCAAAAAGGAAACAAAGGCAUGCAUGUAGUCCCCAUUAACUCGGUAGAGGCUGAGGCGGGAGGAUCAUUUGCACCUAGGAGUUCGGGCAAUAUAGCAAGACCCCAUCUCUCAAAGUAGGUGAGUAAAUUAAUUAAUUAAAAAAUGAAAAGGAAACGAAUACUCAAAACUCAUUGCUUCCAGAUUAUUUUACUAUAUUCUACCAUUACACAUACUCUUGAGGUUAUUAGCAGCUAUGGUAGCUACAUGGCAGACGGAGACACUGCAGAAUGGUGUCCAUCUCUUCUCAGCUGCAUUCAGUGAUGUCGUGUUGGUCAUGUGACAUCAGUUGUGGUGUGAGUAUUUACACUACGGAAAUGGACAAGUGCUAGAAACCUGAGGGUGAUUCAUUGUUUUGCUGGUAUCUUGACUUAAGAACAUGAUGGAAAAAUAUUAAUAAUGCAGAUUAAAUUUAACAGUAUGUUUUGUCCAUGCCAUUACAUGGUGAAUAGCACAAAAAGUUGAGGAAGUAUUCUUCUAGUACUCAAAAACUAUUACCCAAUUCUGCAAAGAAGCUGCAUAUCAUUGAUGAAAGAGUAAACUUCCUACAUACCUUUAUUGUUUCACUUCUGUCUUACGUAUUCACUUAAAUGAAAAUAUCAACCAACAUUCAUGCCAGAGCUCCAGCUGUUUGUCAGCUGCUCACAUAGAUUGGCUACAUAUUCAAAGUUUCAGCAGCAAUCAAUGAAAGCCUUUUGUGAGUCUCACUUGGCUGUAUAAAAUUUACCGUAAAUGGUAUUACGAUGGGUAAUUUUAUGUGUCAAAGUGACUGGGUGUAGUGAUACCCAGAUAGCUGGCAAAUCAUUUUUUCUGGGUGUGUCUGUGAGGGUGCUUCUGGAAGAGAUGAACAUGUAAAUUCUUAGAUGGAGUAAAAACGAUUCACUUUCACCAGUGUGGUAGACAUCACCCAAUCCACUGAGAGCCCUCCUCAAGAAAACAAAAAGAAAGAAGAGGAGCAAAUUCUCCUUCUCUUCUUGAGCUGAAACAUCACCUUCUCCCGCCCUUAGACAUCAGAGCUCCUGGCUUUCAGGACUUCAAAUGCCAGGACUUACACUAGCACCCUCGCACCCCCCAUUUCUACUCCCUACAUCCCAGCCCUGCUCUCAAGACUUGGAGUUACACCCUGAUUCUAAGCCCUUCAGACUCAGACUGAACGACGCCACUGGCUUUCUUGGUUCUGCAGCUUGCAGACAGCAUAUCUUGGGACUUCUCAGCCUCCGUAACUGAGUGUGAGGCAAUUCCUACAGUAAAUCCCAUCUUAUAUAUCAAAAUCUCCCUAUUGCUUCUCUGGAGAACCCUAAUACAAGUAUUGUGUGUUAUUAUUUUUAAAUUGUGUUGUACAUGUUCUUUAUAUUAGUAAAGUUUACAAUAAACUUAUGUCUAUCUGUC